GGCCUUCUUCCACCUAUAGACAGAGUCUACGCAGGGGUCUUGGAACCCGGGCACACCAGUCCCCAGCUAACGAAAUCCCCGAGUUGGGGGAUUUGAGAGGGUCACGUUUGGCCCAAGAACCCGCAGUCCUCUUUGGUCUUCGGCCCUCUAUUUCUAAGCGUGGGCUUCUGGCACGGCGGCUCUGGGCACAGCCCAUGCUGCUUUCGGGCUGGGUGGUUUCAACGACGACAACAAUUAUCACAGUGACGGUGACCUUCACCCCAACAGGACUGCUGUGUGUGAAGCACUCAAGAGGGCCCCUACAACCAACCUGCCAGGAGUCGGCUCCUGAAAACAGGGUCGGAAAAGGUCAGUGCCCAUCAGAAUCGAGCUGUCGGCAAAAAGCUGGAGAGGUUAGGAGCUUUGUCUAUCUCAAGGGUAACAAACUGCUUUGACCCUGAGGGCUCUGAAGACGACUUUCCCUCACCGCAGCUCUCAAGACAACAGGGAUCAGACUCAGAAAGACACUGCCUGUAUAAGGCUCUUGUUUGUCUUGUUUUUAAUUCCUGCCCUCUGCCUCCAGAUCUCAGUCCUCUAUCUGUGAAACGGAAUUCGGCCUUGCCUGUCCACGAAAUGAAGACAAGGCAUCUCGUGUGUGUUAAGAUGAAACAAGAUCUUAGCAAGAGAGUAAUGAUUUCUUUUUUAAAACAUUUUUUACUGUAGUAAAAUGUACUAUAACGUAAAAUUACCAUUUCAAUCAUUUGUAAGUUCAGUGGCAUUAAGUACAUUCACAUUGUCGGGCAGCUGUCAGAGGUGUUCGAACCAGAGCGACUCCAUCUUGAACAGGUGCUGCGCAAAAUGAGGCUGAGACCUGCUGGGCUGCAUUCCCAGGAGGUUAGGCAUUCUUCGUCACAGGAUGAGUCAGUGGCUGCCAGGGAGGCAGGGGUCUGGCACUCUUCCUCAUGCUUACGAGAUGGCUGCUGGAAUUCCAGGAAUCACAUGCAAAUUCUAGUCAGGAGCAAAGAGGAAGAGACACAGUGAAAAGGGGUAUACAGCGGCAGAAGGAAGCUCCUCAAAUGAACUCUGCUAGAACUCUAGCCAGUAGCUUCUCCUUCUAUCACAGUGGCCAGAACUGUGACAAGUGACCAUCCUUAGGGGAAAAAAGAUGCUGAGAAAUGUGAAUUUUGUUGCCACCUUACAUUUUCAAAGGAGUUCCAUUCGUAAGUACAGAACGCUCAGAGAAGAGGCAGCAGAUCUAGGAUAUGGAGCAGCAGCUCUUAAGGGCACAGUGGGAAGGUUUCAAGACUGAGGAGGAUCUUGGAUUUGGGUAGGGGAAGGCAGUUCACAGUAUUGUGGAGGAAAUGCUGUGAAAGAGAAAGUGGAAGGCAUGGAAGCUUAAACUUUUAAUAUGACUGGUGAAUACAAGGAUGAAGGGCAAAGGGAAUUCAGACUCAUGGUGGUCAGAUUAAGACCUUCAGCGGCUCUGUCUCCCAGCCCCACAUACCCACUUCCAUGUUCUGCUCUUUACUGAAGCUGAAAGUCUGCAACCUUCAUUCUCUGACUCCCUUACAUUUUCUUAGGCUUCUUGCUAGCUUCUGCCAAAAAGAGGCCCUGGCAGGAGAUUAGAUGGCAGGAGGCAGAGGUAAGGAUUCCAUGUUAACAGGUGCUGGAAGUUGCUGGUGUGGCAAUGAGAACUGGGCCCCGGUCAAGGCAGCACUACUUUGGUAGAUCCAGAAUCAACCAUGAUAACCGUGACAGUGUCUUCAACAGUGCAGCAGUAGACACAGGCCCCUGGUGCUGGAAUCCAAUACAGGGACAGGAGCAGCACGGAGUCACGGAACACCGUCUUGCCUUCAUGUCACUUUACCAUUUCUUCUUUCUCCCUCUUACUCUACCAGCUACCUGUGGAGAUGUUGAACCUUUUAUCUGUCGCUGUCUGCUUAGGAACAGAAGAAAAGGCAGCUGAUUGCUUGACUCAGCUUUCAGCUUGAUUUUUUUCCUUUGGCAGAGUGAAUUGGGGUCCCAGGUGUUCAUUUUCCUUUUGUAGUACCUUUCCUCAGCAUGCAAUUAAUACAAAAAGAACAAUAAACCUU
rnacentral:lncRNA from 10 species